GUGACAUUAAUUUUGUAAGACGCUUACAAAAUCUCAGGCGGAGAGCUUCUCAGACACACAAGAAUUUAGAAAUCUCCAGGAUUGCCUUGAUGAAGUGAAGAUGAAGCUCCAAUCCACUUCUGUGCCCAUGCAAAAUCCUAUCUGAUGAAGUCCCUCGAAAAAUAUUAUUGCAUUAUAAAGACAAGGGAUGUAGUCAAUAAUACAAGUAGAACAUGCAGCCUUCUUUCUGGACAGUUUGGAUUGGACGGUCACGGGGAUAUCAUAUUUGUUAGCACAAAAAAGAAGAAAUAUUUACGAUCAUGAUUGGGCCUCUCUCUCUCUCUCUCUCUAUAUAUAUAUAGCAUUGAGUUUUUCUUACCCUCCAAAUCCAUAUCAAUUGAAUGUGUAUCACACCAAAUUUUGUAAUAUUAGCCAAAUUCCUUAUUCACCAUAGCUAAGUUCACUUCUCACUGAAUGAUUGACCUAGAUUGAUUAUUAUAAGGGUUAUUAGUUACC